rnacentral:sRNA from 1 species
ACGGUGCACUGCACCCACUGACCUGCGCCCACUAUCUGGCACUCCCUAGUGAGAUGAACCCGGUACCUCAGAUGGAAAUGCAGAAAUCACCCGUCUUCUGCGUCGCUCACGCUGGGAGCUGUAGACCGGAGCUGUUCCUAUUCGGCCAUCUUUGCUCCUUCCCCUGUUGCACCAGCCACAACGGGACCACUGCCUUCAGCUCCUCGGGAUGUCGUGGCCUCCCUGGUCUCUACCCGCUUCAUCAAAUUGACGUGGCGGACACCUGCAUCAGAUCCUCACGGAGACAACCUUACCUACUCUGUGUUCUACACCAAGGAAGGGAUUGCUAGGGAACGUGUUGAGAAUACCAGUCACCCAGGAGAGAUGCAAGUAACCAUUCAAAACCUAAUGCCAGCGACCGUGUACAUCUUUAGAGUUAUGGCUCAAAAUAAGCAUGGCUCAGGAGAGAGUUCAGCUCCACUGCGAGUA